ensembl:snRNA U6 spliceosomal RNA
GUUCAUGUUCACUUCAGCAACACAUAUACUAAAAUUGGAACAGAGAAGAUUAGCAUGGCCCCUGCAGAAGGAUUACAUGCAAAUUCAUGAAGUGUUCCGUAUUUUU